rnacentral:rRNA from 1 species
AUUGAACGCUGGCGGCAGGCCUAACACAUGCAAGUCGAACGAGUGGCGGACGGGUGAGUAAUGUCUGGGAAACUGCCUGAUGGAGGGGGAUAACUACUGGAAACGGUAGCUAAUACCGCAUACCAUCAGAUGUGCCCAGAUGGGAUGAGCUUGUUGGUGGGGUAAGGGCUCACCAGGGCGACGAUCCCUAGCUGGUCUGAGAGGAUGACCAGCCCCACGGGAAAUGCGCAUCGGUCCAGACUCCUACGGGAGGCAGCAGUGGUGAAUAUUGCACAAUGGGCGCAAGCCUGAUGCAGCCAUGCCGCGGGUAUGAAGAAGGCUUUCUGGUUGUAAAGUACUUUCAGCGGGGAGGCGUUACCCGCAGAAGAAGCACCGGCUAACUCCGUGCCAGCAGCCGCGGUAAUAC